AGACGAUGACAUUGAACAUUUUUUAACCACAUUUGAAAGAAUAGCUACCGUGGGCCGCUGGAACCGGGAAGACUGGACUAUUCAUUUAGUUCCUCUUUUAACCGGCGAGGCACGGAGUGCUUAUGUGGCAAUGGAAAUUGAGCACAGCAAUGACUACCACAAGGUCAAGGAGUCUAUCUUGACCAAAUAUGAAAUCACGGCCAACACCUACCACCAAUGGUUUAGUUCCCUGGACAUUCAGCGGUGGUGAAACCCCACAAGAACUGUAUGUAAGCCUCAAGGAUUUUUUUUCCAAAUGGACUAAGGUGAAACAAACCACCAUAAAGAAGCUUGCUGAGACUAUGAUCCUGGAACAGUUUCUAUGGAUGGUCAAUCCAGGAAUGGAAGUUUGGAUCAAGGAACCUGAUCCCAUGACCACUGAGGAAGCCGCACGUGUGGCUAAAGGCUUCGUCUCGGCCAGGAAGGGAAUCGGGAGCACAGUCUUCCACAGAGACAACAGCUACUCAUCCAAGCUUGAAAGAAGCCCUGCAAAGUCAGGUGACCUCUCAGGAAACAGAAGCUUGCACCCAUCAGAGAGCUGACGUUAUGACAUGGAGGAGGAAAGGAGCAGCAUCACCACACAAUGAAUCUUCAAACCUCUUUGGUCUGAUGGUGCUGCAAGACUUGCUGGCACCUUCUACAAGCAGUACAGGAUUUUCCAUCAUGCCAUUUAUUAAAAUUCAUUCAUUUGUGUUAAUCAUCCAUAAUGGUAAUAACUAGCCAUGAUUAAACUGAAUAAAAAUCUG